GCGGUACUGCGGCGAGUGAGCGGCAAAGCUCAAAUUUGAAAUCUGGUACCUUCGGUGCCCGAGUUGUAAUUUGGAGAGGGCAACUUUGGGGCCGUUCCUUGUCUAUGUUCCUUGGAACAGGACGUCAUAGAGGGUGAGAAUCCCGUGUGGCGAGGAGUGCGGUUCUUUGUAAAGUGCCUUCGAAGAGUCGAGUUGUUUGGGAAUGCAGCUCUAAGUGGGUGGUAAAUUCCAUCUAAAGCUAAAUAUUGGCGAGAGACCGAUAGCGAACAAGUACAGUGAUGGAAAGAUGAAAAGAACUUUGAAAAGAGAGUGAAAAAGUACGUGAAAUUGUUGAAAGGGAAGGGCAUUUGAUCAGACAUGGUGUUUUGUGCCCUCUGCUCCUUGUGGGUAGGGGAAUCUCGCAUUUCACUGGGCCAGCAUCAGUUUUGGUGGCAGGAUAAAUCCAUAGGAAUGUAGCUUGCCUCGGUAAGUAUUAUAGCCUGUGGGAAUACUGCCAGCUGGGACUGAGGACUGCGACGUAAGUCAAGGAUGCUGGCAUAAUGGUUAUAUGCCGCCCGUCUUA
rnacentral:rRNA from 1 species